rnacentral:rRNA from 1 species
UACAGAGGGGGCAAGCGUUUGUUCGGAUUCACUGGGCGUAAAGGGUGCGCAGGUGGGUUGGCAAGUUUGAUGUGAAAGCCCCGGGCUUAACCCGGGAAUGGCAUUGAAUACUGCUGAUCUGGAGGAUUGGAGGGGGGACUGGAAUUCUUGGUGUAGCAGUGAAAUGCGUAGAUAUCGGAAGAGACACCAGUGGCGAAGGCGACGUCCCUG